UGCCAGCCGCCGCGGUAAUACGGAGGGUCCAAGCGUUAUCCGGAUUUAUUAGGUUUAAAGGGUCCGCAGGCGGGAUUUUAAGUCAGUGGUGAAAGCCUACAGCUCAACUGUAGAACUGCCAUUGAAACUGAUAUCCUUGAGUGUGGUUGAAGUGGGCGGAAUAUGUCAUGUAGCGGUGAAAUGCUUAGAUAUGACAUAGAACACCAAUUGCGAAAGGCAGCUCACUAAGCCAAUUACUGACGCUGAGGGACGAAAGCGUGGGGAGCGAACAGGAUUAGAUA
rnacentral:rRNA from 1 species